rnacentral:rRNA from 2 species
GCUUCCCUUCGGGGCAGCGGUGACAGGUGGUGCAUGGUUGUCGUCAGCUCGUGUCGUGAGAUGUUGGGUUCAGUCCCGCAACGAGCGCAACCCUUAUCGCCAGUUGCCAGCAUUUCGGAUGGGCACUCUGGCGAGACAGCCGGUGAAAGCCGGAGGAAGGUGGGGAUGACGUCAAAUCAUCAUGCCCCUUAUGUCCUGGGCUACACACGUGCUACAAUGGCCAGUACAAAGGGAAGCGAACCCGCGAGGGGGAGCCAAUCCCAAAAAACUGGUCUCAGUUCGGAUCGCAGGCUGCAACUCGCCUGCGUGAAGCCGGAAUCGCUAGUAAUCGCGGAUCAGCAUGCCGCGGUGAAUACGUUCCCGGGCCUUGUACACACCGCCCGUCACACCACGAGAGUUUGCAACACCCGAAGUCGGUGAGGCAACCCUUCUGGGAGCCAGCCGCCGAAGGUGGGGCAGAUGAUUGGGGUGAAGUCGUAACAAGGUAUCCCUACCGGAAGGUGGGGAUGGAUCACCUCCUUU